UGGCAGUGGAGGUGGUGGUAUCUCUCCCUGGAGAUCCCUGCUUCCCUGAGGCCUUCUAAAGGGUGCGUGCAAAAACUCUGGAGGAAGGUUAAUCCAACCAGAUGUACCCUUGGUGCCUCCAGGGAAGGAGUGAAGGAGGGAGGACGAAGACUUGGAGAUCUCAUUUGGAAUAGUGUCACUGCAUUGUGGUGCAAGCCGACGCCUCAGGGAGAGGAAUAUACCUGAUUAUCAAAACCUUCUGCAGAUGCCUUGGGUAUGGGUGAAGAAUGAAGUAUAGGAUGCUGGUACUGCGUUGUGACUGUUGAGAGGAGUGACCCACCUAGUAAACUGCAGUAGGAAUGAGUAAUGUAAAUCUUCUGUCAGACUAUUACUGUAUUAAUAAAUAAAUGGAUUCGCUCUUCUUCAUCACCUUAUAACUCUUUGUCCCUUAAAUUAUCCUUAAUUAAAAAUGAGGUUGCCUCUGACAGAAAACUAAACAGUGAAGGCACAGAUAUUUGUUUGAAUUUUUGUUUUUUCUUUCCUUUCAGUUCCCAUUCAGUAUUGUCAGGGCAGUGAUUUUCUCCCAAGCAACACUUAGGCAAAUGCAUAUGUUUGCAUUUAAUUUCCAGAUGGGGAGGCAGGCUUCUAAUAACAGUGCAGUUUGCUGCUUUAUAGAUCUGGAUGACUGGCUGACCUGCCUUUUGCAGAUUGCCAGGCAACUCUGCCCUGUAGCCUGGGAUGCCAACGCGCUCCUGGCUGAGCCAGGCUUUUUGAAUUUCAAGCAAGAAAUGAUUUACCUGUCCGGACUGCACAAAGGUUCAACAGUUCUAUACGUAUGUGAGACUGGCUUGCUUCUCAGUUUGGGAUCUUAUGAACUGCUUUACUUUUUGGAAUGAUUGCUCUUU